AUGCUCAUUUCAGCAACACAUAUACUAAAAUUGGAAUGAUACAGAGAAAAUUAGCAUGGCCCCUGUGCAAAGAUGACACACAAAUUUGUGAAGUGUUCUAUAUUUUA
ensembl:snRNA U6 U6 spliceosomal RNA